ACCCCUUACUGGGCAUCAAUCACAGCCCCCUUUCUCCCUCAAGAACCUGAACUUUUACCUACUUAUUCUAAAGGAGAAAAAAACUUUUUCCAAGUGGAAGGGGGACAGGUAAUAAAGGAAGGAUGGAUCCAGUUACCGGAUGGGAGAAUAGCUGUGCCACAGCUACUUGGAGCAGAGGUUGCACUGGCUGUGCAUGAAACUACCCAUCUAGGUCAGGAAUCACUUGAAAAGUUGUUAGGCCGGUAUUUUUACAUCUCCCAUUUAUCAGCUCUUGCCAAAACAGUAGCGCAGCGAUGUGUUAUCUGCUGACAGCACAAUGCAAGACAGGGUCCAGCCGUUCUGCCAGGUAUACAGACAUAUGGAGCAGCCCCCUUUGAAGAUCUCCAGGUGAACUUCACAGAAAUGCCAAAGCGUGGAGGUGAUUGAGUGUGGAUCAAAGAUUGGAACACAUCCCCCUUGUGACCACGGUGGAAAGGAGCCCAGACCAUCAUCUUGACCACCCCCACAGCUGUAAAGGUAGAAGGAAUCCCAGCCUGGAUCCACCACAGCUGAAUAAAACCUGCAGCCUCUGAAACCUGGGAGGUAUUGUUGUCCUAAGCCAGACCUGAUCACCUGUCUGGAGCAAGGAAAAAAACCUUCUUGACUAUGAAGAGAC